AUUGUAUUGUCAUUCGGACUUGUUGCCAUAUAUUGCUCUUGUCGUGUCGAUGUGAUUCUUUUCAGCUAUUACCUGUCGUGCUACAUUUUGUCCUGGUAGUCAUAGCGGUGAGGACGGCGACAUGACAGGACGGCACUUAAACAUGGCACCGACACGCCGACACACGUCCCAUGGAGACACCGACACACGAUGGAAAACAAAAUGCCAGUGAUGUCAGCGUUCCUGAAGAGUGACUGCACACACACCUCACGUGUGUGUGUGUGUGUGUGUGUGUGUAUGUGUGUGUGUGAGCUGUGUUUAUCUUAAUGAUGGACUGAGAUCAGCAGCAUGUUUGCUGCAUACAGAUAUCACAACACAACUUUAUUCACACACAGAGUAUAUAUGUUGACUAUAACAUGAUAUACAGUCACGAUCAAAAGUUUAAAUAAACUUGUAAAGAACAUAA